rnacentral:rRNA from 1 species
UGGCGGCAGGCCUAACACAUGCAAGUCGAGCGGUAACAGGAAGAAAGCUUGCUUUCUUUGCUGACGAGCGGCGGACGGGUGAGUAAUGCCUAGGGAACUGCCCAGUCGAGGGGGAUAACAGUUGGAAACGACUGCUAAUACCGCAUACGCCCUACGGGGGAAAAGAGGGGACCUUCGGGCCUUCUGCGAUUGGAUGUACCUAGGUGGGAUUAGCUAGUAGGUGAGGUAAUGGCUCACCUAGGCGACGAUCCCUAGCUGUUCUGAGAGGAUGAUCAGCCACACUGGGACUGAGACACGGCCCAGACUCCUACGGGAGGCAGCAGUGGGGAAUAUUGCACAAUGGGCGCAAGCCUGAUGCAGCCAUGCCGCGUGUGUGAAGAAGGCCUUCGGGUUGUAAAGCACUUUCAGCGAGGAGGAAAGGUUAAGUGUUAAUAGCGCUUAGCUGUGACGUUACUCGCAGAAGAAGCACCGGCUAACUUCGUGCCAGCAGCCGCGG